UACGUAGGGGGCAAGUGUUGUCCGGAAUCAUUGGGCGUAAAGCGCGUGUAGGCGGCCCGGUAAGUCCGCUGUGAAAGUCGGGGGCUCAACCCUCGGAUGCCGGUGGAUACUGUCGGGCUAGAGUGCGGAAGAGGCGAGUGGAAUUCCUGGUGUAGCGGUGAAAUGCGCAGAUAUCAGGAGGAACACCAAUUGCGAAGGCAGCUCGCUGGGACGUUACUGACGCUGAGACGCGAAAGCGCGGGGAGCAAACAGG
rnacentral:rRNA from 1 species